rnacentral:rRNA from 1 species
GACGUAGGGGGCGAGCGUUGUCCGGAUUCAUUGGGCGUAAAGAGCUCGUAGGCGGUCUGUCGCGUCGGCUGUGAAAACUCGGGGCUCAACCCCGAGCCUGCAGUCGAUACGGGCAGACUAGAGUGCGGUAGGGGAGACUGGAAUUCCUGGUGUAGCGGUGAAAUGCGCAGAUAUCAGGAGGAACACCGGUGGCGAAGGCGGGUCUCUGGGCCGAUACUGACGCUGAGGAGCGAAAGCGUGGGGAGCGAACAGG